rfam:Pteropus alecto contig46208, whole genome shotgun sequence.
AGGCAAGAUUUAGACUGCAAUAUAGAUGUUAAGUGCUAUGUUGUUAUUCUCCUUGCUCAAAAUAAAAUUUUUUCUUUACUCUACCUGUCUGCUAUGGUCUUGUAGUGGCCAGGCAUAUGCUUGAUUUCAUACAU